rnacentral:lncRNA from 1 species
UCCUUUUUUUUUUGUUCUGUCGUUGCUAUCCAUACAUGCUAGCAGCUCGCAUGAACCAUUCUGGGCAUUCAGUGGUUAGUAGUACCGGAGCAGCGCAUCCUGGGCAGCAGGGCAGGUAGCGAGUGCUAGCUUCUUCUCUUACGGGUGGUAGGCUGCACCCAUUGAUCGACAAGCCAGACGUAUGCCUCUACACAUGCACGGACUUCAGCUUUAACGGGAGAAGAGCAAUGGAACAGAACACGCCAUGCUGAAAAGCAAACGGUCCCUCGGUGAAUUUCAUAUGAUUCUUAGGCCCGUUUGGCUCUCCAGGAGCUCCUAAAAUUCCUGUCACAUUGAACGUUUAGAUGCUAAUUAGGAGUAUUAAACAUAAACUAAUUAUAAAAUCUCCUAAAAUUUUCUGUCACAUCGAACGUUUAGAUACUAAUUAGGAGUAUUAAGCAUAGACUAAUUACAAAAUCAAUUGCACAGAUGGAGACUUAAUAUUGUCACUCAAUCACCAAAAGCACAAUCUAUAACCCAAUGGGAUCAUAUUUCUUACAUUUAUUUACGUCACAAGACACGGGUACUCCAUCUUAUAGCGUGGUAUAUGGGUUUUGGGAUCAUUGGAUCAAGCCCUGUGAGAAUUGGUUUGCACCUCUGAAUCUCCUAUCACAUCGUGCGUAAUAGUAGUUAGUAGUGGUGAACCUCAAGCUCUUUUACUCGGUUAAAGGUGUCAGCCGAGGUCAUAAUACUAAUGAAAGUAUUUAUUGGAACUCAAACAAACAACCAGGUCACAAAAACAUCAUUCGGGAGAAGAUGAAUGCGACGACAUAGUUACACCUGUCUUAUUUUUAGUAUUCAUCACAUGAGGGGUGCAUACACAGUCAAGGACCUGUCCGACUAAGGGCACAAGUUCAAGACAUCAUGAAAGACAGAAGAAUGGAAAGACUGGAUUCGUAAUUCAUAACAGUAACAUAGCACGGAGACCCUCGCUCAAGCUCCAUUUCUCUUAGCUUCCAUCGUCACUUUUUGGAUGCCGCGGGCUUGCUGCUCUUCACC